rnacentral:sRNA from 1 species
UCUACACAAUAAUAAUCGUAGAGGUAAGCCAUGAAGUUUUCAUAUAUAAAUACUAUUUGUCUCUUGAUCUGCAUUAGUUAUGUGAAUCCACAGUAUCAUGUCCUACAAAAUUCCAUAGGCAGCGUUACGAAAUGCCUUUUGAAAUUUACCACUACCAGAGAGGAGAGCAAAACAUAUUUUGACAAUCCGGAUAAGACAAGCCACAAUUUCAAAUGCUUCCUUAAAUGUAUGGUGGAAGAAGAGGGAUUUUUUCAAAACGGAUCGCCUGUGGCUGAGUUGGUAUUCGAAACUCACAAAACAAAUAAGUAUUUAGCUGCUACCUCUGAGGAAUUGCUUGAAGUAAUUGAAAGAUGCCACGCAUUGGUUGGUGAUGACGAUUGUGAUACGGUGUUUAAAAUUUCAAGGUGUUUUGAUGAUAUAGUUUAUGGUAAGGUCCACCAUACAUAACUUCUAAUGAAAGGAGUCGUCCAUGUGCUAUCGAACACAACCUGAUGUAUUUUUUAUGCUUGAAUAAAUAAAUGUGACUGCAAAUAUAAUUUAA